UGGUGGAGCGAUUUGUCUGGUUAAUUCCGAUAACGAACGAGACUCUAGCCUAUUAAAUAGCUCGCCGAUGUCCAAGCGUCGGCGGCAACUUCUUAGAGGGACAGGUGUCGUAUAGGCACACGAGAUUGAGCAAUAACA
rnacentral:rRNA from 1 species